GACAUUUGGAGGGACCAGUUUUGCCAAGGGCUGGGCAUAUACCGGGUAAAACUGAUAAUCCGAACCGUUAAUUUUUUAUUAAGUUAUCGGUAUUGGGUUAUUGGGUUAUCGGUUCGGGCCUCGAUUUGCCAAUUUUAUUAAUGGGUUAACCGAUAACCCCAUAAGAAUUAAUAAAAUUACGACUUUAUCCUUAAGUAUAUACAAAUGUUAGGGCUUCAGUUCAUUCUCUCCUAUUCUUUCUCAACCCCACUCUUCAGUUGCUUCUUCUUCAUUCUUCAUUCUUCAUUCUUCAUACACCUUACUAGUUACUCCUAGCGUAAAUCUUUAGUAUACUAUAUGUGAAUUCUUCUCUUUUUUGCUUAACUCCGAUGAAUUGUCUUUUUUUUUUUUGCUUAACUCUAGAUUGAGUUAUCUUAUCGGGUAAACCGAUAACCGAUUAACCGAUAUCCGAUAACCGAUAUCUUAUCGGUUCGGUUAUCGGUUUAUCAAAUUUAUAAACCGAUAACCGAUAUGUUAAACCAAUAAUAUUCAUAACCGAACCGAAUCGACCGAUGCCCAACCCUAGUUUUGCCACGGAAUUCAGUACUCUUUGUCCCUUCGAUACUUCAAGAGCCUCUAACCCUCAGGUGUUGUAUACUGAUGAAUUAAAGCCAACAUUCAAUCUAUAGUGUCUACUUGAUUCAGACUUGCGUCCUAGUAAUGUAACAUGUCAAACUCCUUUUAUUUAAUUUAUUGUAAUAAAAUUUUGUCAGACAACAUUGCUAUUGACAUUGGUUGAUUAAGUAGUUAAAUAAACAUAUAUAUCAUCUAAUCACAUACUAAAUGACCGUGACUGGAGUUGACAUUCUUUAGUAUGGUUUUGUGUUGGUUGAAUAAUAG
rnacentral:lncRNA from 1 species